UCGAGAAUCUUUCGCAAUGGGGGAAACCCUGACGCAGCGACGCCGCGUGAGCGAUGAAGGUCUUCGGAUUGUAAAGCUCUGUCACGAGGGGCGAAACAUUCACUGGUGAACAAUCAGUGGAUUUGACGGUACCUCGAGAGGAAGCCCCGGCUAACUCUGUGCCAGCAGCCGCGGUAAUAAAGAGGGGGCAAGCGUUGUUCGGAAUUACUGGGUGUAAAGGGCGCGUAGGCUGUUUGGUAAGUCAGAUGUGAAAUCUUGGAGCUUAACUCCGAAACUGCAUUUGGUACUGCCAGACUUGAGUAUGAAAGAGGAAGAUGGAAUUUCCGGUGUAAGAGUGAAAUCUGCAGAUAUCGAGAGGAACACCAGUAGCGAAGGCGAUCUUCUGGUUCAAUACUGACGCUGAGUGCGCGAAAGCUAGGGGAGCAAACG
rnacentral:rRNA from 1 species